AUGCCAUUCUUGCUUUUGUCAACAUAUUCUUAUACUAUCGUAAGUCUAGGCGUUUUCUUUUUUUUAAUUAUUAUUACUUUUUAUUAUUUUAAUCUGUCUAUAUCUGUCUACGUGGGGAGCGGCUGAGUACCAAGUAGCUGUAUCAACUCUUCUGUGUCCUAGCACGAGGGAUUCCCCCGGCUGGCUUCACAGCCACGAAGGUGUCCUAGACGUGACAUUCUGACCAGCUUAAAUUCAGCAGAGGACCCUUGAAUUAAUUACAGCUACAGAGGGGGAAGAGGUGAUGGUUUCUGAAGGAGACAGAAGAAUUUGUGCCUUACCUGUUUGUUGGCCCUGGCAUAAGCUAGUCCAACGCCUUCGACCAUUUGCCCCGUGAAGCCGGGAGGGCAGGGAUCACAGCGGAAGCCAGGAGCAGUGUUAAUGCACUGGACCUUCGGGAAGCAGGGGUUUGCAUUGCACUGUAAACAAGAAAGAAGUUGUGGAGAGCUGCGACACAGGCUCACUCAAGGUCAGCUGUGAAGGCAGCUCUAAAAGCAGGCCUUGCUGGGUGAGAUCCAACUAUUGUGCUUUUAUUUUCUAAAGAAUAAGAGAAAAAUGCAUAGAAGUAGCUGGCUUUCCUUGCAAGUGGAAAAUGCAGCUUCCCAAUCUGAGUUCUCCCAAAUUCCAGUAUGUGCAGACAAGUAAAACAAAUCAGCUUUCAAGACUAAUUCUUCUUAGGUGACAUCAAUUGCCCAGGCAGAGAGCUGGCUUCGCUUCACAUUUUCCUUCCUGGCAGUCUCUGAAUCCAGAGAACUGGGUUCAAUAGUACCUAUGGUGUUCUUGAGCAAGACUUUCUCCAGUGAUGAAGACUUCACAACCACUCCAGGCAGCCUUUGGAUGCUCUAUAUUCCCACUGUCAAUGUUUCCACGGGAUACUAUUUAAGCCCACUGCUUCUUUUCUUAUUCACUAUGCGCUCAAGAGAGCAGAUUAGCUCCUUCAUUGAAGGAGCAUUAUAUAUUUGAAAACUUGCAUUUCAAUUCAAUACUGUUACAAAAGAGCCUGGUAAUGCAGGUAAACGUCCAGGUUUUAUACAUCCAAUAGAAGAAAAAUGGUCACAUUGCAGACUGUCGACUGUUAGUUCUAAGCCUUGAAGUCUGAACUAUAUCAUAAUCAUGUUUUUUGUUAAAUGUCACAAUGCAUAAAGUAUCAAUAACACAGAAGGUACAUUCUCUAUUCUGGUAGACUAUAGGAUUACAACUGAGGUUGAACCAACCUGACACAUUCAUGCACCACUCCUUUCUAUUUCACUCUUGAGUAGAUCAGUAACAAGACCAGCACGUUAGAUUUUUUUUGCAGCAUCUACUUAUUUUGAAUGCUGUAGAUGAGCUUUGGCAAAUUCCGAAGACAGACACCAUGGAAAGGACUGGACAGUGAAGUUUGAUGCUCAGCAGUGAGCAGAACCUUCAGUCUUGUCCUACCUCUCUACCAUGUGUUCAUGUGUUCCCAGCCAAAACAAACCUCUAUCUUGUGAAGUUUGCAAAACAUGAUUUUACAGCUUGAUUAUGUACAAAUACUUAUUUCAUCCGUUGCUAAAACACCAUCUCAACAAACAAGAUUCCUAAAUGAUUUGUGCUUAGAGCUAUUUGCGGUCCUGAGGUAACAAAGUUUAGGUAUAAACCAGUAUUGUAAAUAACACCAGUGUGUUAUGGAAGGCAGAUUCAUUAUUUAACAUUGACACCUACAGGGAUGUAAAUAUUCCAUGCAAAUUCCAUCCCUCAAUACAUAGUAAUAGCCCCAGUAUGCCUCAUUUUAUUGCAAGAUGCAAUAAUCCACUACAGGCUGUGCUUUCUUACAUGUUUGAAGAGUUACAGCUUGCUGCAGUCUGGUUUAUGUCUCCAGCUUUAAAUCCCCAAGGGAAGUGAGGUAUUGAAGGUCACUGAAGAACUGAAGACCUUUUUUAA